rnacentral:rRNA from 1 species
UACAGAGGUCCCGAGCGUUGUUCGGAUUCAUUGGGCGUAAAGGGCGCGUAGGUGGCGGGACAAGCGUGCGGUGAAAGCCUGGGGCUCAACCCCGGGUCGGCCGUGCGAACUGUUUUGCUUGAGCACUGUAGAGGCAGGCGGAAUUCCGGGUGUAGCGGUGGAAUGCGUAGAGAUCCGGAAGAACACCGGUGGCGAAGGCGGCUUGCUGGGCCUUACCUGACGCUGAGGAGCGAAAGCGUGGGGAGCGAACAGG